AGAGUUUGAUCAUGGCUCAGAUUGAACGCUGGCGGCAUGCCUUACACAUGCAAGUCGAACGGCAGCACGGGAGCAAUCCUGGUGGCGAGUGGCGAACGGGUGAGUAAUACAUCGGAACGUGCCCUGUCGUGGGGGAUAACUAGUCGAAAGAUUAGCUAAUACCGCAUACGACCUGAGGGUGAAAGCGGGGGACCGCAAGGCCUCGCGCGAUAGGAGCGGCCGAUGUCUGAUUAGCUAGUUGGUGGGGUAAAGGCCCACCAAGGCGACGAUCAGUAGCUGGUCUGAGAGGACGAUCAGCCACACUGGGACUGAGACACGGCCCAGACUCCUACGGGAGGCAGCAGUGGGGAAUUUUGGACAAUGGGGGCAACCCUGAUCCAGCAAUGCCGCGUGUGUGAAGGAGGCCUUCGGGUUGUAAAGCACUUUUGUCCGGAAAGAAAUCCCUUGCCCUAAUACGGCGGGGGGAUGACGGUACCGGAAGAAUAAGCACCGGCUAACUACGUGCCAGCAGCCGCGGUAAUACGUAGGGUGCGAGCGUUAAUCGGAAUUACUGGGCGUAAAGCGUGCGCAGGCGGUUUUGUAAGACAGGCGUGAAAUCCCCGAGCUCAACUUGGGAAUGGCGCUUGUGACUGCAAGGCUAGAGUAUGUCAGAGGGGGGUAGAAUUCCACGUAGCAGUGAAAUGCGUAGAGAUGUGGAGGAAUACCGAUGGCGAAGGCAGCCCCCUGGGACGUCACUGACGCUCAUGCACGAAAGCGUGGGGAGCAAACAGGAUUAGAUACCCUAGUAGUCC
rnacentral:rRNA from 1 species